rnacentral:rRNA from 1 species
CUCAGUGGAUCCCUCGGCUCGUGGGUCGAUGAAGAACGCAGCAAAAUGCGCGUCGUUAUGUGAACUGCAGGACACAUGAACAUCGACAAUUCGAACGCAAAUGGCGGCCCUCGGUGUUUCACCUUGGGCUACACCCGUCUGAGGGUCGGUCAAAAAUUAUAUAACCAGACUGCU